UAUAAUAUAUCUCUUUUGGCAGAGAGGCUUGGAGGUAAUGAUUAAUCAUAACAGAACAUUUCAUUUGUCUUGAUUUUUCCAGGGACAGACGGGGCCCUUGGGGUUAAAAGGAGAUGAAGGUCAGAGAGGAGCCCCUGGAGAUCCUGCCAAGGGUGUAAGAAAACCAUUUCACUCAUUUAAACUUUUGCAUAGCGAUUGAAAAGCUCACAUUCAAAAUGAAAUGCAACCAACCCAUUUUAAGAAAAUGGCAUGAGACAUAAGUCUUCUUUUUCUCACCACUACAGAUAAUUGGCCCAACUGGAAAAAAGGGUACAAGGGGGGACGUUGGUCCAGUCGGCCCUACAGGGCCCCAGGGAAUAAAGGGGGAACAAGGAGACAAAGGAGAUAAGGUUAAUAAUAAGAAAUACUGUACAUCAUGCUUGCAUUUGUCAUUCAAGAGUGAAUAUCUGUCAGUGUAGAAUAACUGACUAACUGAGGAUGGUUUGUUUUGAUGUGUGCAGGGCAGUCCCGGUUUUGGGAUACCAGGACAGCGGGGACCAAAGGGUGAAAAUGGCGAGCGGGUGAGGCACCAUUUAACACUGAAAAUGUGUUGUCUGAUAUCACAUUUGAUUUAUUGAUAAAUGAUGUUUUAUCCUUUGUUGUCUGAUAUCACAUUUGUUUAUUGAUAAAUUAUGUUUUAUCCUUUUUAUCAUUCACAGGGAAAUGUGGGUUUGUCUGGAAAACCCGGACCAAAAGUAAGUAAAAACUGACUGUUUUACUUAAAUUUGCUUUAAUCUAUAUUU
rnacentral:lncRNA from 1 species